rnacentral:lncRNA from 1 species
UGCUGAUCUUAAUUUUCUCCUGGGUUUGCAGAGGAGGACCGAGUCCUCUGCUUACUAAGAGUGGUAACAGCUAGAAGUCUGUUUCUGUUUUCUACUUUCCCUCUUGGGGACACUGUUCUUUUAUCAUUUACGUUUUGUUCUGUUUUCCCCUGAACCUCCAGCUGCAAAUACACUUAAUAAUCAACCACCACAGAGCCCCUGACAGAUGGGCCUCGAAGCAGAUGGCUCCAUUGAAAGGCAGCAACUGAAAAUGGAGGGUAAUUUGAACCAAUCAAGAAGAUGGGGUCUCUCGGAGGCAAAGUUUGUACAGAAACUGAAACCGGAUCCCCUAAGCUCCUUUGAAACAUCUUCACUGCUGCCACGAUGGAGUUCACACUAAGGAUGGACGAGCAGAGAGAUGGAGAGAACUGAGUCCUUGGACACCGGGAGCUCCUGAAUCGACUGACCUGACAUCUUACUGCCAAACGUCUAUUUAGAGUAGAUAAUAAAUUUCCUUACUGUUCAGGCCA